rnacentral:lncRNA from 1 species
AUGUCGGACCCUGUUAAAUUAGGAACCAUUUUAAAAUUUGGUCCGACAAGUUGUUUGUCCCUUUCCCACGGUGUGUGGUUGGAAUUCUUAGUAAGCGGGCCUCCUCCGCGCUGACCACGUCCUGUUCAGAAGGACAUCUUAGACAUUGCGUCACUCCACGGAUCUAAGUUUUUCCUUCCAAAGUUCACAGCUUCCAUUGUUUCAAUUCAAGGAAGUUCGAUCACGCUGACCAUUGAGUCAUAAAAGGAGGACCAGAUUGGUCAAUCUUAAGCUGGCCACGUUCCCUCAAGAAUGUUAGCCCACUACUCCUUUUCUGAUUGGCUUUUCCGAAGAUGAUAUCAUUAUUUUAGCUUUUUGACCAAUUGGAAAGUUUUCCCAAACCUGUCCGAGCGCGUGAUCAGUAGGGUUUUUAAACCCCUGCUCCACCUCAAUUCUUCAGAAGCGAAGAAGACCUCGAUGCGAGAAUAUCUUAGAGUGCUACCCUUAGCACUUUUGAUAAGUUAGCCUAGGAACGAUUGCGGACUUUACUAAGUCAUUUUCUCGUGAGAAACGUUCCUAACACUUUCCCUCGCAUCAUUUGCAAACGUGCUUUGUGAUACAGAACACGGAGUCCCCAGGUCACGCUUUGAGGAGUCGACCCGGUUCGAUUCUUCGCCCGGCCUGUUCCUGCUUCUCACCACCACCCCUCUCCGUCUGGACCACCGUUCGCUGGACUUCGCCUGGACGCUGCUGCUCUACCUGGACCCCAUCCGAGUACGACACCGCAUCGGCAAAUCAAGACGAGUUCCAACGCGACGCUUUGGACCCAGCUAAGAUCUUAUAAUUUUAUACUAUUGUAUAAAAUCUCCUUGUUGUAUUUUAUCGAUGUAUUCAUUGAUGUUUGCUAUAAUUCCUUGUGUUGAUGUUUCAGUGGUUUGACUUCAUUGAGCUUGUUGUAUUUAUUCAUGCUGAACCUUUGCAUACUUGUUGACUUUUGACUUUCACAUAAUUUGAAGUUUGUUGACUUUGAACACUUGCAAAUUCUUUCCUUGGAUUCAGAUGAUCUGAGAUUUUGCCUAUUGUUUUCACAUCCUUUGAUAUUUUUUGGUUUUUUUCAAUUAACUUUUUGUUGCAAUUGUUCAGAUUUUCCCAUUGUUUGGAUUGCAUUGUUGUUUGAAACGUUACACCACUGAAAAGUCACACGCAUGAUAUUUUGGAUUUUGAUGAUUCUUUUAUAAUUGAUUCUUGACCAAUCACUGUUGACAUUGAUGAUUUAUGAUGUGUUGAUGAAAUAAUAACAGAGUGAGUUCAUAGAGGAAAGGACCAACUUUAA